rnacentral:rRNA from 1 species
UACGUAGGGGGCAAGCGUUGUCCGGAUUUAUUGGGCGUAAAGAGCUCGUAGGUGGUUCGGUAAGUCGGAUGUGAAAUCUCCAGGCUCAACCUGGAGGGGUCAUUCGAUACUGCCGUGACUAGAGGUCGGUAGGGGAGUGUGGAAUUCCUGGUGUAGCGGUGAAAUGUGUAGAGAUCGGGAGGAACACCAGCGGCGAAGGCGGCACUCUGGGCUGGAACUGACGCUGAGGAGCGAAAGCGUGGGGAGCGAACAGG